CACGUAGGGCGCGAGCGUUGUCCGGAAUUAUUGGGCGUAAAGAGCUCGUAGGCGGCCUGUUGCGUCCGCUGUGAAAGCCCGGGGCUUAACCCCGGGUCGGCAGUGGAUACGGGCAGGCUAGAGGUAGGUAGGGGAGAAUGGAAUUCCCGGUGUAGCGGUGAAAUGCGCAGAUAUCGGGAGGAACACCGGUGGCGAAGGCGGUUCUCUGGGCCUUACCUGACGCUCAUGCACGAAAGCGUGGGGAGCAAAC
rnacentral:rRNA from 1 species